AGAGUUUGAUCCUGGCUCAGCGCGAACGCUGGCGGCAUGGCUAAAACAUGCAAGUCGAACGCGAACUCACCUUCGGGUGAUAUUAGAGUGGCGAACGGGCGGGUAAUGCGUUUCUAACGUACCCCAAGGUCAAGGAUAGCUCACCGAAAGGUGUGGUAAUACUUGAUGACCCCAUCGAGUCGCAUGGCAUGAUGGGCAAAGGCUUGCUGCCUUGGGAUCGGGAAACGUGCUAUCAGGUUGUUGGUGAGGUAACGGCUCACCAAGCCUUAGACGGCUAGCGGGUGUGAGAGCAUGACCCGCCGCAUCGGGACUGAGACACUGCCCGGACUCCUACGGGAGGCUGCAGUAACGAAUCUUCCGCAAUGUACGCAAGUAUGACGGAGCAAUGCCGCGUGUAGGAUGAAGGCCUUCGGGUUGUAAACUACUGUCAGAGCUUAGAAAUCAAUGAUCAAGCUCAAAGGAAGGGCCGGCUAAAUUCGUGCCAGCAGCCGCGGUAAUACGAAUGGCCCAAGCGUUAAGCGGAAUCACUGGGCUUAAAGGGUGCGUAGGCGGGACUGUAAGUAUCUUGUGAAAGCCCACGGCUCAACCGUGGAAAUGCAGGGUAUACUGCAGUCCUUGAGGUCGGUAGGGGCUGUCGGAACUCUAGGUGUAGCGGUGAAAUGCAUAGAUAUCUAGAGGAACGCCAAUGGUGAAGACAGACAGCUGGGCCGAUUCUGACGCUGAGGCACGAAAGCGUGGGUAGCGAACAGGAUUAGAUACCCUGGUAGUCCACGCCGUAAACGAUGUACAUUAGGUCCUGGAGGUUUUGACGCCAUCGGGGCUGAAGUGAAAAUAUUAAAUGUACCGCCUGGGGAGUACGGUCGCAAGGCUAAAACUCAAAGGAAUUGACGGGGGCUCACACAAGCGGUGGAGCAUGUGGCUUAAUUCGAAGCAACGCGAAGAACCUUAUCCUGGAUUUGACAUGUAUGGAUUAGCUCUGUGAAAGCAGAGUGACGCCCUUUGGGUGGAACAUACACAGGUGCUGCAUGGCUGUCGUCAGCUCGUGCUGUGAAGUGUUGGGUUAAGUCCCUUAACGAGCGAAACCCUUAUCUUUAGUUGCCAGCGCGUAAUGGCGGGGACUCUAGAGAGACUGCCGGUGUUAAACCGGAGGAAGGCGGGGAUGACGUCAAGUCCUCAUGGCCUUUAUGUCCAGGGCUGCACACGUGCUACAAUGGGAACUACAAAGUGAAGCGAUACAGUAAUGUGGAGCAAAUCGCAUAAAAGUUUCCUCAGUUCGGAUUGUGGUCUGCAACUCGACCACAUGAAGUUGGAAUCGCUAGUAAUCGCGUAUCAGCUACGACGCGGUGAAUACGUUCCUGAGCCUUGUACACACCGCCCGUCAAGUCAUGGAAGCUGGAAGCACCCGAAGGAGUACUAAUUCAAGUAUUCCUACGGUGAGUUUGGUGACUGGGACUAAGUCGUAACAAGGUAGCC
rnacentral:rRNA from 1 species